rnacentral:rRNA from 1 species
AUUGAACGCUGGCGGCAGGCCUAACACAUGCAAGUCGAACGAGUGGCGGACGGGUGAGUAAUGUCUGGGAAACUGCCUGAUGGAGGGGGAUAACUACUGGAAACGGUAGCUAAUACCGCAUACCAUCAGAUGUGCCCAGAUGGGAUGAGCUUGUUGGGGGGGUAACGGCUCACCAAGGCGACGAUCCCUAGCUGGUCUGAGAGGAUGACCGGCAACACUGUAAUUGAGAGAAGGUCCAGAUUCCUACGGGAGGCAGCAGUUGGGAAGAUUGCACAAUGGGCGAAAGCCUGACGCAGCCAUGCCGGGUGUAUGAAGAAGGUCUUCGGGUUGUAAAGUACUUUCAGCGGGGAGGCGUUACCUACCGAAGAAGCACCGGCUAACUCCGUGCCAGCAGCCGCGGUAAUUC